rnacentral:rRNA from 1 species
UACAGAGGUCUCGAGCGUUGUUCGGAUUCAUUGGGCGUAAAGGGUGUGUAGGUGGCGCCGUAAGUCGGGUGUGAAAUUUCGGAGCUUAACUCCGAAACUGCAUUCGAUACUGCGGUGCUUGAGGACUGGAGAGGAGACUGGAAUUCAUGGUGUAGCAGUGAAAUGCGUAGAGAUCAUGAGGAAGACCAGUGGCGAAGGCGGGUCUCUGGACAGUUCCUGACACUGAGACACGAAGGCCAGGGGAGCAAACAGG